rnacentral:rRNA from 1 species
GAUGAACGCUGGCGGCGUGCCUCAAACAUGCAAGUCGAGCGGGGCUAUGUAAUAUCGCAAGGUAGAACAUAGCCUAGCGGCGAACGGGUGAGUAACACGUGGGUAACCUGCCUGGAAGACAGGGAUAACGAUUCGAAAGGGUCGCUAAUACCUGAUAAUAUCCUUUCAUCGCAUGGUGAUAGGAAGAAAGGGGAAACCCGCUUUCAGAUGGGCCCGCGUCCCAUCAGCUAGUUGGUAAGGUAAAGGCUUACCAAGGCGACGACGGGUAGCCGGUCUGAGAGGAUGUACGGCCACACUGGGACUGAGAUACGGCCCAGACUCCUACGGGAGGCAGCAGUUGGGAAUCUUAGGCAAUGGACGAAAGUCUGACCUAGCGACGCCGCGUGAGGGAAGAAGGCCCUCGGGUUGUAAACCUCUGUCAUGGGGGAAGAAGUAAGUGACGGUACCCCAAGAGGAAGCCCCUGCUAACUACGUG